rnacentral:rRNA from 1 species
GACGAACGCUGGCGGCGUGCUUAACACAUGCAAGUCGAGCGGUAAGGCCCUUCGGGGUACACGAGUGGCGAACGGGUGAGUAACACGUGGGUGAUCUGCCCUGCACUUCGGGAUAAGACUGGGAAACUGGGUCUAAUACCGGAUAGGACCACUGCCUGCAUGGGUGGUGGUGGAAAGCUUUUGCGGUGGGGGAUGGGCCCGCGGCCUAUCAGCUUGUUGGUGGGGUGAUGGCCUACCAAGGCGACGACGGGUAGCCGGCCUGGGAGGGUGACCGGCCACACUGGGACUGAGAUACGGCCCAGACUCCUACGGGAGGCAGCAGUGGGGAAUAUUGCACAAUGGGCGCAAGCCUGAUGCAGCGACGCCGCGUGAGGGAUGACGGCCUUCGGGUUGUAAACCUCUUUCAGCACCGACGAAGCGCAAGUGACGGUAGGUGCAGAAGAAGGACCGGCCAACUACGUGCCAGCCGCCGCCGUAACAC